CCCCUCUCAGGAUUGCACCUGGAAAGUUCCCAAUACUCUUCCAGUCACAACUACAGGAGGGAAAGUCAAGCAGAGGCCUACCCAUUCCAUUCCUAGCUUGUGCACUGGCUUGCGAGUGGAAGGCAAUCUACUACAAGU